rnacentral:lncRNA from 1 species
UGAAGGAAAUUCCCGAAAUUUGUUGGGAAAAUUCCCAAAACUUGAAAGAAAAUUCCAGAAUUUGAAGGAAAAUCCCAAAAUUUGGUGGGAAAAUCCCAAAAUUUGGUGGGAAAAUCCCAAAAUUUGAAGGAAAAUCUCCAAAACUUGGAGGAAAAUUCCGAAACUUGAAAGAAAAUUCCAGAAUUUGAAAGAAAAUCCCCAAAAUUUGAAAGAAAACCCCAGAAUUUGAAGGAAACUUCCCAAAAUUUUAUGGAAAUUCCCAGAAUUUGUUGGGAAUUCCCCGGAAUUUUCUGGAAUCCCCGGAAUUUUCCAGAACUCCCAGAACUUUCUGGAAAUCCUCGGAACUUUCCGGAACUCCUGGAACUUUCUGGAAUUCCCAGAAUUUGUUGGAAAUCCCCGGAAUUUUCUGGAACUCCCCAGAAUUUGUGGGGAACUCCCGGAACUUUCUGGAACUCCCGGAAUUUUCUGGAAAUCCCCAGAAUUUUCCGGAAAUCCCCAGAAUUUGUUGGGAAUUCUGGAACUUUCCGGAACUCCCGGAAUUUUCUGGAACUCCCGGAAUUUUCUGGAACUCCCGGAAUUUUCUGGAAUUCCCGGAAUUUUCUGGAAAUCCCCGGAAUUUUCCGGAACUCCCCAGAAUUUGUUGGGAACCCCCGGAACUUUCCAGAACUCCCGGAAUUUUCCGGAACCCCCGGAAUUUUCUGGAAUUCCCGGAACUUUCCGGAAUCGCCGCUUUCAC